rnacentral:misc_RNA from 1 species
AAAAAUUGGAGGCAAAGCAUAGGUUCUGCCGAGAGCUUUCCCUUUGGUUUUCCGUAGAGCAGAGACGCUCCAAAAUCACCUACAAAACUUGGCCUUCGAGACUCUUACACAUCCUUUCUCAAUCAGACAUUCAACCACCACCUAGGAACUACCCACCUACGCAUCUAAAGCCUGUCCCUCACUUCUCUUGCAAAAAUUUCUAACGGUGAGUUUUUCCGUAAUACUGAUUAUUUUUUUUUUUUAACUUGAUAUCCUGUUGUUCAACGAAAUAGCUAGGUCGUUUAAUUGGGUUAAGUUGUUUGAUUUCCAAUUUCUGUUUACUUGUCCAUGGUUGUUAUUUUUCAAGAGCAAAUUAUUAGCAUCAGGAUUGACGAUUGUAUUUAUGGGUUUUCUUAAUGUUCUUUUUAAUUUCAUUAUUUUUUUAGCUCCCCGUUUCUGGAAUAUCUUAAGGUUUCCUUGAAAUUUGAAAAUGAAAAUUGGAGGUUGUUAUGAACGUACGAAUGAAUGUUGUUGAAAUGCUUUUUAUGCUAUUGAGUGCUGUUGGUCAUGGCCCGUGCCCUCUGUCCUACCACCUCAAAAUAUCUCAGGAUAUUGAGUCCUGGGAAACCAUCUACACCAGGAUCGAUUUUUCAAUGACUGUAAGGAGAGGAGCAGAGUUUCAACUCGAAACUAUCUGAAAAGCCCAGAGCAGGAGCUAUUACGACUCAAACAGGUUGCUUGCUCCCUAUAUUGAAAGGGAAAGCACCCUUACCUAGCCCUAGGCCAGGGAAUCAUAAACCAACUCUGCUUUAACUUGAUUUAGAAUGAAUUGCCUAUUUCUAAACUUGUUGGUAGUCUUCAUUCUUUACUUCUGGUUGUAACAUUUAUUGGUAAAAGGUUGAUGAAUGGUUUUUGUUCUUUUAGUAAAUAUCAAACCUUAAUUAUUUUGAAUCCAAAAGUAGUUUAGGUAGAAAUUUAAGUUUGAGUCAACAUGCUUCAUUGACGUUGAAAGACCUUGUUUUUCAAGGGUGGUUGCCUCUUGAUCUUGAACCAGUGAUCGUUAGAGAUAUAUGGAGGCACUCAGAUCAAUCUUCCUUCUGAUUUUAACAUAUAAGUCUAUGCAUUUUAUUUUAAGAUAUGCACGGCAUCAAUGCUAUAAUUAUUUUGGAAUCACUUUUAUUAUUCUUUGUGUUUCAUAUGGAAUGAUUGGCAGACA